AGUCGAGCGGCAGCGACUUAACUGAACCUUAGGGGAACGUUAAGGGCGGCGAGCGGCGGACGGGUGAGUAAUGCCUGGGAAUAUGCCCUGAUGUGGGGGAUAACUAUUGGAAACGAUAGCUAAUACCGCAUAAUCUCUUCGGAGCAAAGAGGGGGACCUUCGGGCCUCUCGCGUCAGGAUUAGCCCAGGUGGGAUUAGCUUGUUGGUGAGGUAAUGGCUCACCAAGGCAACGAUCCCUAGCUGGUCUGAGAGGAUGAUCAGCCACACUGGAACUGAGACACGGUCCAGACUCCUACGGGAGGCAGCAGUGGGGAAUAUUGCACAAUGGGGGAAACCCUGAUGCAGCCAUGCCGCGUGUGUGAAGAAGCUUCGGGUUGUAAAGCACUUUCAGUAGGGGGGGAAGUAGUGUAGUUAACACCUGCAUUAUUUGACGUUACCUACAGAAGAAGCACCGGCUAACUCCGUGCCAGCAGCCGCGGUAAUACGGAGGUGCGAGCGUUAAUCGGAAUUACUGGGCGUAAAGCGCAUGCAGGCGGCUGUUAAGUCAGAUGUGAAAGCCCGGGGCUUAACCUC
rnacentral:rRNA from 1 species